rnacentral:ncRNA from 1 species
AACAACACAGGAAGCCUCACCUGGCCCAGACAUAGACAGGAUUGACAGAUCGAGACCUCUGUCGAUUCUGUGGGUGGUAGUGCAUGGCCAUUCUUGGUGAACUGAUUUGUCUGGUCAAUUCUGAUAAUGAAAGAGAUUCUGGCAUGCUAACUAGUAAAAAAAAAAAUGUACCCCCACUCAGUUUGCAGAUGACACUGAAGCUGUGCGGGAGCGUAGACAUGUGUGAGGGCAGGAAGGCACUUCAGAGGGCCCUGGCCAGGCUGGAGUGAUGGGCCAAGGGCAAUGGGAUGAGGUUUAACAAGGCCAAGGGCU